UUUCUGCUAUGAUGAAUCAUGAAAAAAUUCACAUGUCAGACUUCAGAGAUUUGUAAACAAAUCUAUGAGAAGGAAAAUUUCAUGUUUCUGAGCAA